ACGCUCGACACCUACGGGAGGCAGCAGUGGGGAAUAUUGGGCAAUGGGCGCAAGCCUGACCCAGCAACGCCGCGUGAAGGAAGAAGGCCCUCGGGUUGUAAACUUCUUUUAACAGGGACGAAGCAAGUGACGGUACCUGUUGAAUAAGCCACGGCUAACUACGUGCCAACAGCCGCGGUAAUCUGAGCGGGCUGGCAAGGC
rnacentral:rRNA from 1 species